rnacentral:rRNA from 1 species
UGGGUAACCUGCCUCAAAGAGGGGAAUAGCCUCCCGAAAGGGAGAUUAAUACCGCAUAAUAUGUUUAAGUCGCAUGACUUUAACAUCAAAGGAUUUUCUUCUAGAAAUUCCACUUUGAGGUGGACCCGCGGCGCAUUAGCUAGUUGGUGAGGUAACGGCUCACCAAGGCAACGAUGCGUAGCCGACCUGAGAGGGUGAUCGGCCACAUUGGAACUGAGACACGGUCCAGACUCCUAGGGAGG